UCCCAGGUCGCUUUUCACAGACCCUGGUGACCUGAGGCUCCCUGGCUGUCACUCUGUCCCAGGCCCUCCUGGCCCAUGGGGCACAGGCUGAGUCUCAGUAUAGUCUGUGGGGUCCUGACCCUGGCAUCUGGCCGCCCCUGGAAGGC
rnacentral:pre_miRNA from 1 species